rnacentral:rRNA from 1 species
CGGGUAACCGGCCUGAGAGGGUGUACGGCCACAUUGGGACUGAGAUACGGCCCAGACUCCUACGGGAGGCACAAUGGGGAAUAUGCACAAUGGGCGGAAGCCUGAUGCAGCGACGCCGCGUGGGGGAUGAAGGCCUUCGGGUUGUAAACUCCUUUCGACAGGGACGAAGCGUAAGUGACGGUACCUGUAUAAGAAGCACCGGCUAACUACGUGCCAGCAGCCGCGGUAAUACGUAGGGUGCGAGCGUUGUCCGGAAUUACUGGGCGUAAAGAGCUCGUAGGUGGUUUGUCGCGUCGUCUGUGAAAUUCCGGGGCUUAACUCCGGGCGUGCAGGCGAUACGGGCUGACUUGAGCCCUGUAGGGGAGACUGGAAUUCCUGGUGUACCGGUGAAAUGCGCAGAUAUCAGGAGGAACACCGAUGGCGAAGGCAGGUCUCUGGGCCAGUAACUGACGCUGAGGAGCGAAAGCAUGGGUAGCGAACAGGAUUAGAUACCCUGGUAGUCCAUGCCGUAAAGCUGGGCGCUAGGUGUAGGGGGCUUCCACGUCUUCUGUGCCGUAGUAACGCAUAAGCGCCCC